AUGGAUGGGUGAAUGGAUGGUUGGUUGGUAGAAUAAUAGAUGAAUGGUUUUGUUGGAUGGCUCGAUGGAUGAUGUGUGGGUGUGAUGGAUCCAUCCAACCAUCCAGCUGCCCACCAACACACCCUUCUCUUCCCUCCAUCAUUCUCCCUCCUUCCAGACUCCAGUUUUCCCAGUCUCCAUAUUUAAAUCCUGACCGCUGCAGAAAUUCCUACCAUAAACUCGUAGUGAACUUUUCUAUUUAAUGUUUUGAACUUGGCAUCAAAACUCAUUAGAACUCUGGAAAUUUGAGAGUGGAAACGUGUGGAACUUUGUCAUGAAAAAUGCGUGGGAACCCAAAGGAACGCAGAGAAAAAAGACCAGCUGGAUGGACGCUGCAGUGAUCCUUUGUAAUCCUAAAAUUGACUCAAUAAAGAGGCUUACGAACAAAAAAAGGGUACAUUAUUUUAUUUCCCUCCAACUUAUGGCAGACAGAGCCAAAAAAUAUGGAAAACAGGAGGUGAUUUGUGGCCAGCCGCUGACGUGAGCCGCCUGUCAGCAAGCCCCGCUGACCUUUGCCAAUAAAUGAGGCAGAAAUAUACUGUUUAGACUCAGCGGCUUGACAGAUGACUGUAUUUGCAUGCGUGUGGUUAGGGACCAAAUGUGUCGGGGCUGUAGGGUGCACGGCAGCCCAGCACACUCUGCCUGUCCGUGGAAUUUCAGCUGGCUCCCAACACAUCCUGACCUGCCUCUUAGCUCCACCUCUUCCCAGUUCUGACAUGCAAAGCUAAAACUACGAGAGGAAGCGCUUAACGUCAUUGACCCAUAACUGUUACUUCUAAGAGAUUCAGAUAUUCUAACUUAAAUUUCUUUUGCAUCUUGAGGAUCAAAAUAUGACAGCAAGUGGAAGGGUUGUUGGGUUUUACAGUAAGAUUAAUGACUCAAACUGGAGGGAAAAAAUGAUAGAUUCACACAAUAAAUAUGCAUGACUAGAUGUUCUUAUUCCUACUUAAGAAUAAAACACAAUUUAUUAGAAUUAAAAAUAGUGAAUUGUAAAAGUUUUCCAUUGGCUAUUUUGAUUAGAAAAAAUCCCUCAAAGCAUCACUCCUAUUUUGUUUAAAACUGUUUUCUGUAGAGGAGCUAUGGCUGCCUCAGACGGUGCUGGCCACCAGAGAAACCCUCUACCUGCUGGACGAAGAUCACCAAUGGAGGAAAAGCGUCUCGGUGGCACCUGAGGACAGCCAGGCGCGCAGUGGGAGCGUCGCCAUCCUGGAAACUCUUCCGAUCAGCUGCGUGAGCUCGGUUCUGCUGUGGGCCUCGGACCCGCUCAGGAUGGACUUUAAGCUUUACGAUGAGACUGUGAAACAGGAGAAGACGUGGUGCGUGCGCACGGAGAGUGCUGAGCUCCUCCAGGGCCUGCUGUCCUGGGUCAGGGCACAGUGGGAGGCUAUGUUCGGAGUCAAGCUGCACAUGGGUCUGCAAGACGAGCCGUCGUAAUGGAUCCAAACAAACAAAACAACAAAAGCCGGAGUUUUAGGCUUUAGUCCUAUGCAGGUUAUUGAGCGAGUCUGCAUCUUUUGUUUUCUCUGCACUCAGUCUGCUCCCAUUACGCUUGUUGCUUCAAGCCAAGAGCUUGGAAAUGAUUGCACUCAUUCAUGUGGUACACAAGCCUGUAAAAAAGCUCUGCUUGCAUAAUUUUUCCUCCAGGAAAAAGAAAAAACCAACAUCUACAGUGAAUUUUUCUACAGCUGAAAUGAAGAGUGCCUUGUUUCUUUGUGAAGAUGAGACGUCCUGGUUUGGCGAUGCACGUAAAUGCACGUCGUGUUUUCUGGAUCACCUGUAGCGCUUUGCCAAUGUAGGGCAGGUUCCUCCGGCUGGGAUAAAUGGCAAUAAGACUUUAAAUGCGUCCAGCCGUCAUGCGCUCAACACGAGGAACGGCUAAGGCUCUCAUCAAGGGAAACCUUUGACCCCAAUUAGGGUGUCAUAGUUGGUCUAAGUAUAAAUGGUCUUGUAUACUGUUUAAAAUGUAAUCCACAGGUGUUCCAGAUGUGUGAAUUAAGAAUUUAUAUUAAAUAGAUCAUCAGGAAAAAUCUAACCUAGCUAAAAUCUAACUUAAGUUAUGUUGUUGAUCCAGAAUGCUCACUUUUAUUUUUGUAUAAAUGUGUCAUAAAUGUGUUUGCUUGGAUAUAAAAAAAAGAAAAAGUUGUCUUUGUUCAUGUCGUUGCAUGUCCUUGAACAAUUUUGCUGAGUUGCUGUUGCAAAUUUACAAAACAGACACAUUUUAUUUAUUGAUGAUCCUGCUGAUGGACUCAUGAUGGUGAGAUUGGAAAAAUAAAAAGAUACCCGAAGCUGAAAUUUCU